CUCUCCAGUUUCUGUUGUAUAGGUCACUGAUGAGCUUGGCCUUGGCCAGCAGUGGAUCCAUCUUGGAGCCGGCUCGCAUUGGCUCUGUCAGACAUAGGGGAAGCUUCUAUCAGCUUCUCACAGAAGCAACCCCUGGGCUAUCAAAACCCAUCCCAAUACAUACUAGUAGCUACAAUUUAUAUGUGAGGAAAGAUUAAUUUAAGAAAAUCUUAAAGCCUAAUUUUUAUUAUAUUGAAAUCAUAUUUUCCUUCUGUUUAUCUAGGACAGGCAUAAGACCAGUUAAACUGAGUUUGUGAAUAACUGCAUUUAAUGUUACAACAAAAACGUAGAUAGUCGUUAUCACUGGGUCUAAAGAAAACACAAAUAGUUAUGGUGAAAAAAGACAUGGAAUAUCUUAGUAUUUGGUGACAUCUGUCCUGUUAAUUUGUGUGGCAGUAACUGAAGUUAGACUACAGCUGCGUUCUAGUCACCAUAUAAAAAUAUUAGAUAACAUAGAUUCCUGUCUGACAAAGCUGUCAAGAGUGGGGGUUAUAGUAUGCAAAUUUGGGUAAAUUAUCAAAGGUUAAAAACUAGCAUUCCUAGUCAACCAGGGCAAUAUAAAUAUAUGCUGGAAAUGGUUAUCACUGAUGUUGUCUUCUUAAGUGGCCAUGGAGAAACUCCUUCUGAAAGUUCUUCCAAGAACUGGUUGGAAAGCAAAAGGAUCCUGUUAUUUGGCCAUUUAUGUUGCCUCAUCUUUUGCAGCCUAGAAUGGGAGCUCAGGUGCUAGAGAUGUUAGAAACAGAGUUGAGGAGGUGACUUGACUUUAAAGUGGUGAUGCUUUAAGUAAAGGUCCUGAGAACAAGUCAUUGUGUUUGUUCAUUUUAGAUGUCUGUUGAAAAGUCCCAGCUUGUUAUUGCUAAACUCUAUGUUAGUGUAAAAUGGCUUUGUUUUACUACCAUCUACAAAAUGUUUUUACUGACUUGUAGAGUUUAACCUCUUGGGGCUAAUCCAGAAAAGUAUAGAUUUCUGCCGUUCACAAACACUCUGGCUCAUGUUAUAUAUGUAUACUCUUACAGUGCAUUGGAUCUUCAGACUGUUUUAUAAUGCUCAGCUAACUCAUAGCAAUAUUUUGAGGACGUCAGUCUCUCUGCAUUUUGCAGGAAUAGAAAAGCUGAGGUUGCACCAUUGUAAUUGAUUAAGCAGUAACAUUGUACUGAAGUAUGGUGUCAGUUUCAUAUUCAGCUGAACUGAUUUCAAAACACAAAACUUUCCUCUGAAAAGUUUUUCCUUCAAUGCUAAUAUAAUUUUAUUUUCCAGGCAGCUUCAGAAAUAAAUAUUGUUAGAAUGAUCA
rnacentral:lncRNA from 1 species